rnacentral:rRNA from 1 species
AACGAACGCUGGCGGCGUGCUUAACACAUGCAAGUCGAACGGAAAGGCCCUGCUUUUGUGGGGUGCUCGAGUGGCGAACGGGUGAGUAACACGUGAGUAACCUGCCCUUGACUUUGGGAUAACUUCAGGAAGCUGGGGCUAAUACCGGAUAGGAGCUCCUGCUGCAUGGUGGGGGUUGGAAAGUUUCGGCGGUUGGGGAUGGACGGGCGGCUGAUCAGCUUGUUGGUGGGGGAGUGGCUUACCAAGGCUUUGGCGGGUAGGCGGCCGGAGAGGGUGACCGGCGACAUUGGUACUAAGAGACGGCGCAGACGCCUACGGGAGGCAGUAGUGGCGAAUCUUGUACAAUGGGAGCAAGCCUGUUGAAGAAACGCUGGGUGCGGGAUGACGGCCUUCGGGUUGUGAACAGCAGCCGGCUGUUACGAAGCGGGAGUGACGGUAACGGGUAAAGAAGCACCGGCUAACUACGUG